AUCCCUAGUGAAACUACAAAGCACGUCUUUAAGUUCAGCAUACUUGAUAUGCACAGCUGAUUAUCAAUGUAUUUCCAGUGAGAGGCUUCUCUGAAAAAAAUGUCUGCUGCUGACCAUCCCUAUGUUUUCCAUCAAGGCUUCUUGGGAAAAAUGUCUUUAAGCUCAACAUACUUGAUAUGCAUAACAGAUUAUCCACGUUUUUCCACUAAGAGGUUUCUCUGGAAAAAAUGUCUGCUGCUGACCAUCCAUAUGAUUUCCAUUGAGGCUUCUUGGGAAAAAUGUCCGGUCAGGAGGAAGUAAAUCAGGUUAAGUAAUUUUAAACUGCUGCUAGGAAUCAGCAACAACUGCAAUGCGAAGUAUUUGGCAGUGGCAGGGCUGCCGAUAUGAGCCAGAUUCCUCUUUUCUGCUGCCAUCCGACCAUGAUAUGUAUCAGGCUGCUAAAAUUGGAAGUGUCGAGGAUCACUUCCAAGUGACAAACAGGCACGAGUUGCAGUAGCGCAGACUAUAGAAGAUAAUCAAAAUUAAGAGUAGACAAAAUUUGUGCUCCCUCUUUGCCUGUGUUCUCAGGUACCAUUUGAUCCACUGAUGAUCAAACACAUUUUCAGGACAUGGUCAAUUCUGCUGAAAAGGAUAGGUUGGCUGGAAAUUCAGAUUUUACUCUUUGAGAGGAGGAGGACGUUUGGCUAUAGGAUUUCUUGACGAAUGGUCCGUUUAACCUGGGUUGUUCAAACUGGUUUAUGUAACUUAGAUAUAUACAUUCCAAGAAUAGGGGUGAAUUAUGUGAUAUUGGAAAAGUGAAUUGCUAUGAUUUUCGUCAUUUAAUCCCAUGUCAUAUUGUUGCUGAAAGGCAAGAUUUUUGUACAACUUUACAGAUGCAGGGCUAAGACUCUGAUUUACCUCCU